ensembl:snRNA U6 U6 spliceosomal RNA
CGCUCCGGCAGCGCAGAAGUAAAACCGCGAAGAUACGCAGAAGAUGAGCGCCGCCCCUGUGCAAGGACGGCACGUAAGUUUGUGAAGCGUUCCCUAUUUUU